CACCUGUCUCUGCGCUCCCGAAGGCACUCCCUCGUUUCCAGGGAUUCGCAGGAUGUCAAACCCUGGUAAGGUUCUUCGCGUUGCAUCGAAUUAAACCACAUACUCCACCGCUUGUGCGGGCCCCCGUCAAUUCCUUUGAGUUUCACACUUGCGUGCGUACUCCCCAGGCGGAACACUUAACGCGUUGGCUACGACACCGAGGGGGUCGAUUCCCCCGACGCCUAGUGUUCAUCGUUUACGGCCAGGACUACAGGGGUAUCUAAUCCCUUUCGCUCCCCUGGCUUUCGUCCAUGAGCGUCAGUUAUGGCCCAGCAGAGCGCCUUCGCCACUGGUGUUCUUCCCGAUAUCUACGCAUUUCACCGCUACACCGGGAAUUCCCUCUGCCCCUACCACACUCUAGCCUUGCAGUUUCCAUCGCUUAAAUGGAGUUAAGCUCCACGCUUUGACGACAGACUUACAAGGCCGCCUGCGGACGCUUUACGCCCAAUAAUUCCGGAUAACGCUUGCCACUCCCGUAUUACCGCGGCUGCUGGCACGGAAUUAGCCGUGGCUUAUUCAUCAAGUACCGUCAGAUCUUCUUCCUUGAUAAAAGAGGUCUACAGCCCAGAGGCCUUCAUCCCUCACGCGGCGUUGCUCCGUCAGGCUUUCGCCCAUUGCGGAAAAUUCCCCA
rnacentral:rRNA from 1 species